CUUCCUUCCUCAAUGUAAAUGUUAAGAUCUAAAAACUCAAUCUGUUCUUUAGAGUGAUUAAAAGUAAAUUUCAAGUGCUUGCAUUGGAUUAUUGUUGAGGUAGAUCUUGAAUUCCUCUAAAGAUUCUAGAUUUCCUUUCCAUAUGAAGAAGCAGUCGUCAAUAUAUCUAUGCCAUAGGGACAGAUUUGCGCCAAAUGGGCAGUGGGUCCAUAUAAAUUCUUCCUCCCACUUACCCAUAAAUAAGUUAGCGUAACUUGGCGCAAAUCGUGUCCCCAUGGCUGUGC